UCUGGAGACUCUCAGUGUGUCAGGCUGUCUGAUCUCAGAGGAAGGCUGUUCUUCUCUGGUCUCAGCUCUGAGCUCCAACCCCUCCCAUCUGAGAGAGCUGGACCUGAGCUACAAUCAUCCAGGAGACUCAGGAGUGAAGCUGCUGUCAGCGGGACUGAAGGAUCCUCUCUGGAGACUGGACACUCUCAGGGUGGAGCCUGCUGGAGUCAGAUGG